rnacentral:snoRNA from 1 species
UACUAUGACGACAAAACGCUGUGCACCAGUCUGAAUAAUGUAUGACAGACCCAGUAUACCCAAAUUUCUGAAG